AAGACUAUACUUUCAGGGAUCAUUUUUAUAGUUCGCUACUAGAGAAAUUUCUCUGAAAGUGUAGAGUACUCGGAACCACGAGGAGGAGGUGUAGUGUCCUUUCCUGAGCGUGAGGUUGACUUUGGGUGUUGCUUUUACAGCUGCCUUUUGUCGUUGAUGAUCGUUCUUCUCCCCUUUUUUUUUAGGGAGAGAAAGAGGGAAAGGAUACUGUCUGAGUGGU